rnacentral:rRNA from 1 species
CCUACGUGAGGCUGCAGUGGGGAAUAUUGGACAAUGGGCGAAAGCCUGAUCCAGCCAUGCCGCGUGUGUGAAGAAGGCCUUCGGGUUGUAAAGCACUUUCAGUGGGGAAGAAAGCCUUGGGGCUAAUACCCUCGAGGAAGGACAUCACCCACAGAAGAAGCACCGGCUAACUCCGUGCCGGCAGCCGCGGUAAUACGGAGGGUGCGAGCGUUAAUCGGAAUUACUGGGCGUAAAGCGCGCGUAGGCGGUCUGAUAAGCCGGUUGUGAAAGCCCCGGGCUCAACCUGGGAACGGCAUCCGGAACUGUCAGGCUAGAGUGCAGGAGAGGAAGGUAGAAUUCCCGGUGUAGCGGUGAAAUGCGUAGAGAUCGGGAGGAAUACCAGUGGCGAAGGCGGCCUUCUGGACUGACACUGACGCUGAGGUGCGAAAGCGUGGGUAGCAAACAGGAUUAGAUACCCGGGUAGUC